AAUGAACGCUGGCGGCAGGCUUAACACAUGCAAGUAGAAAGAGUGGCGGACGGGUGAGUAAUGCUUGGGAAUCUGGCUUAUGGAGGGGGAUAACUACGGGGAACGGUAGCUAAUACCGAGUACCAUAUGAUUAGCCCAAGUGGGAUUAGGUAGUUGGGGAGGUAAAGGCUCACCAAGCCGACGAUCUCUAGCUGGUCUGAGAGGAUGACCAGCCACACUGGGACUGAGACACGGCCCAGACGCCUACGGGAGGCAGCAGUGGGGAAGAUGGCGCAAUGGGGGCAACCUGACGCAGCCAUGCCGCGUGAAUUAAGAAGGCCUUCGGGUUGUAAAGUUCUUUCGGUAGCGAGGCGUUAACUACAGAAGAAGCACCGGCUAACUCCGUGCCAGCAGCCGCGGUAAUAC
rnacentral:rRNA from 1 species